rnacentral:rRNA from 1 species
AUGUUGGGCAAUGGGAAGACAUGCCACUUCUGGUCAGUUCAUUGGCUAGAUGGCAAAUCGAUCGGCGAGAUCGCCCCCACCCUCUACAAGCUCGUCCCCCGACGCAUUCAGAACAAGCUUCUGGUUCAUGACAGCAUCCUCAACCGGGAUUGGAUCCGCGACAUCCGAGGAGCUCUUGGUGUCCUCGCCACGGUUGAAUACGUCGACCUUUGGAGAUGCCUUUGUCUGGUCACCCUCUCCUCCGCCCCAGACACCAUCCCUUAG